UACGUAGGGGGCAAGCGUUGUCCGGAUUCAUUGGGCGUAAAGAGCGUGUAGGCGGCCAGGUAGGUCGGUUGUGAAAACUGGAGGCUCAACCUUCAGACGUCGACCGAAACCAUCUGGCUAGAGUCCGGGAGGGGAGAGUGGAAUUCCUGGUGUAGCGGUGAAAUGCGCAGAUAUCAGGAAGAACACCCGUGGCGAAAGCGGCUCUCUGGAACGGUACUGACGCUGAGACGCGAAAGCGUGGGGAGCGAACAGG
rnacentral:rRNA from 1 species